GGACCAAUCAAGGUGCAGGCUGCCGUUGUGGAUCCCGCCCUUCUCCCCCGGGUCUGCAGUACCGUUGGUUUUGCUCUAGAGAUCCGACGCGGUGAGACUGCUGAGCGGGGCAGCGCCAGAAGCCGUUAGGAAUCGUUGGCUCUUUCUGGCAGUUAUUUCAGCUUGUUCUUCGUAGAUAAAAGUGCCCCACGCAUCCGGAUUGAGACCCACUAUACGGUUGUCUGAAGUGUGUCGCACUGAGAUCGGUGAGCAUAUUCGGAGCCUUUUAUUUGUGUUUUUGUCGUUUGUUACAUUGUUGUUAAAAAAAAAAUAUCCGUUGUUUUAGUAACUAGGUAAUGUUUUGUUACUGUGUUGGAAAGAAGGAUUAAAGCUAGAACGGCUUGGUAAAGUCCUGUAUUUCUGCUGGUCCUGUCUGU